UUGGGAAUCUUGCACAAUGGGGGAAACCCUGAUGCAGCGACGCCGCGUGGAGGAUGAAGGCCCUAGGGUUGUAAACUCCUUUUUCGGGAAAGCGGUACCCGAAGAAUAAGCUCCGGCUAACUACGUGCCAGCAGCCGCGGUAAGACGUAGGGAGCAAGCGUUGUCCGGAUUUACUGGGCGUAAAGCGCGCGUAGGCGGUCUGCUAAGUGUGAAGUGAAAUCUCAGUGCUCAACACGGAAACUGCUUUACAUACUGGCAGGCUAGAGGAAUGCAGAGGUUUGUGGAAUUCCCGGUGUAGCGGUGAAAUGCGUUGAUAUCGGGAGGAACACCCAUGGCGAAGGCAGCAAACUGGGCAUUAUCUGACGCUGAGGCGCGAAAGCGUGGGUAGCAAACAGGAUUAGAUACCCCUGUAGU
rnacentral:rRNA from 1 species